rfam:Felis catus breed Abyssinian Contig267745.1, whole genome shotgun sequence. [26-MAY-2016]
GCCUGGGUGGCUCAGUCGGUCGAGCGUCCGACUUCAGCUCAGGUCCUGAUCUUGUGGUCUGUGGGUUGGAGCCCCGCAUCGGGCU